GGAGGUAGUUCAAUGGUAGAGCACUUGCCUGGUGUGCCUGAGGUUCUGGGUUCCAUCCCCAGCACUGCA
rnacentral:tRNA from 1 species